rnacentral:lncRNA from 1 species
UUCGAAAUACUUGAUUAAAUUUUAAUUUUUAAUUUAAGUUCAAAUUAAAAUUUAAAAUUAUAUAUUAUAUUUUAAUUAAAAAAGUUAAAAAAUAAAUUUAAUCCAAAUAAAUAUCCAUUCCGUCCGGAUUCAACUUUUAAUCCGGCCUCCUAGGCCGGAUUGAAAAAUGAGGUAAUUGGGGGAUUCCCAUUCCACUCAGGAAUCAGAAUCGGAAUGGGACUCUCGUGUACCAAACACCUACAAACGGAUUUACCCAUUCCGAUUCCGAUUCUAGGGUGAAAAAGAAGCGAACCAAACACGCCCUUAAAGUUAGUCAUAAUAGAUAUAGAACUAUUUGACAUAGUCUAUCUUAUCCCUUUUCCAUUUAUUUAAAUUAAAUAGAAUCCUUAUCAGACUUUGAUGAGAAGUCGAUCUGAACUCUAUAUAAAGGGGUAUUGAUCUUGUCAUCUUUUCAUACGCAUUCUGGUGAAAAAUUACAAUCGGUUUCAUACCAUAAAGAAAAGUACCUAGAUAUCUGAUUGUGUAUAAAACUAUUAUAUAUUCACAC